rnacentral:rRNA from 1 species
UACGAAGGGGGCUAGCGUUGCUCGGAAUUACUGGGCGUAAAGGGUGCGUAGGCGGCUUUCUAAGUUGGAUGUGAAAACUCUGGGCUCAACCCAGAGCCUGCAUCCAAAACUGGAGAGCUUGGGUACUGGAGGGGAAAGCGGAAUUCCUGGUGUAGCGGUGAAAUGCGUAGAUAUCAGGAGGAACACCGGUGGCGAAGGCGGCUUUCUGGACAGUUACCGACGCUGAGGCACGAAAGCUAGGGGAGCAAACAGG